CACUUUUUGUUUUGUCCAAAUAAUUAUGGAUUUAAAAGGAAAUAUAAAUAUUUUCAAAAAGUUCUGAUAAAUGCAAGGAAACAGAAGAUUUAUUUCAAACCCUACUACACUUAUAAGGGUUUAAGCCUCCUAUAAUUCAGUUUCAAACACUACUUUAAUUGGGUAUCUCUUUGUUACUUUGAUCUCUCUCUCCCAUGGAAACUCUCUUUACUUCAGUUUACAUCUCCAGUCUCCCGGGGACGAAGCCUUCUUUGCGUUCUUCUCCCUCUUCGUCUCCUCCUUCUUCUUCGUCUUCUUCUCUGUUUUCAUGUUGCUUGUGCAAUCGUCCGACCAAGCGAAUCACCGAACUGAGACUCAGCCGUGGAUCGGCUCAUGGGUUCCGUCUGCGGGCCCUCUUGCAUGGCGAGACUCGAAGCGAAGGAGAUGAUAAUUUGGCGGGGAGUAAUGGGUUUGACUUGUUUUCCGGUGAUAUUCUCUCUUUAUCUCAGGAAAAGGUAAAGGGUGAUCAAAGUGGUGAAAAGGAUGUUGAUAAGGCAAUGGAUUUGGAAACAUCUCUUGUGCUUCCUCAUGGGGUUGGGAAGGGAACUCGAGCCGGGCUUUUUAGAACACCGAUUUCCGGUGGAGUUCAGAGUGCAACCUCGGUUCAUGGGCUACCUCGGCCAGCUUUAGCUGUCCGAAAUUUGAUGGAGCAGGCCAGGUUUGCUCAACUAUGCACUUUGAUGUCUAAGAUUCACCACCACAGAGAAGGGUACCCGUUUGGUUCUUUGGUAGAUUUUGUGCCUGAUCCCAUGGGCCAUCCAAUAUUCUUGUUUUCGCCUUUGGCUAUCCACACACGAAAUCUCUUGGCGGAACCAAGAUGCAGUCUUGUUGUUCAGGUACCUGGAUGGAGCGGCUUAUCAAAUGCAAGAGUAACACUCUUUGGUGAUGUCUACCUAUUGCCUGAAGAUCAACAGGUGUGGGCUCAUAAGCAGUAUAUCGCAAAGCAUCGACAAGGGCCUUCCCAGCAAUGGGGAAAUCUAUACUAUUUCAGAAUGCAGAACAUAAGUGACAUCUAUUUCAUCGGAGGGUUUGGCACCGUUGACUGGGUCAAUGUCAAAGAGUACGAGGCCCUUCAGCCUGAUAAGAUAGCUGUCGAUGGCGGUGAUCAAAAUCUCAAGGCGGGAACUGAAUGGCAUCUUCUCAAAACGGCUAAGACAGCUCUUGUCCACUGAAAGCGAGGUUGAUGAUGCUGCUCUCAUUUCAAUAGACAGCAGAGGAAUCGAUAUACGGGUUCGUCGAGGCGCUCAGUUCAACAUACAAAGGCUGUCGUUUGAGGAAGGCCACGUGGUUGAAACCUUAGAAGAAGCAAAGGCUGCUCUCCAGGAAGUGAUAAAGAAGAAGGGACAGAAGUUACAGAAUUUGCAGAAAUGACAGAACAUAAGAGUCGGUUUAUAUCAGAACCCUUUUGAGGGGAUACCAAUCUAAGAUAACUUUCUCGAGGAAUUUCCGUCGUUCGGGUCAUUUUUUUAAGCUUAUUACCCCGUUUUUUUUUUUUUUAUAACUAGGAGGUUUACUGGGCUUCCGCCCCACUUAAUACUCAUCUGGAAUCAUCCUUUAGUCACACAAUUAAUUACACCUCCUCCUUUCCAUUGGUGGAA